AACUAAUGAACUUGAAUAAGUUUAUAUUUUGAAAAUAUAAUAUAGAAGUGAAAUCUUCUAUUAGUUU
rnacentral:tRNA from 1 species